GCAAGUCGAGCGCACUCUUCGGAGUGAGCGGCGGACGGGUUAGUAACGCGUGGGAACAUACCCUUUUCUACGGAAUAGCCUCGGGAAACUGAGAGUAAUACCGUAUACGCCCUUUUGGGGAAAGAUUUAUCGGUGAAGGAUUGGCCCGCGUAAGAUUAGAUAGUUGGUGGGGUAAUGGCCUACCAAGACGAUGAUGCAUAGCCGACCUGAGAGGGUGAUC
rnacentral:rRNA from 1 species